CUCUCAGUCACAGAUACCCAGAUCAGUUUGCUGAUUGAGCCAUCCAUCCGUCGCCUGUACGAAUGACAAAUGAAACACUAGUCUCUCGCCCCUGGACAGAACAGCUGUUUUGCUCCAGAGGCAUUGUGGGUCUGUGUUGCUGUGGAGAUGCCUCCAGUUACGCCAGCUGUUCUACUUCCUGAUGUCAACAUCGCUACUGGCAACCACGAUAAAAACAGCAACAACAUCGUUUUCAGCAACAAAAUCACUACCACGGAGGUCAACAUUCAGUUCUUUUAUUUUGAUGUCCUUAAAUGGGAGAGGCCACGGCAGAGGUGAACUUCCUGUGACGACAGGAAGAGGGAGAGACGGAAACAGGAGAUGUCGCCCCCGUGUCACAGAGGGGCGACAGGUGUUUACCUCCCCAGUGACGGCCGAUCACAUUGUCAAAAAGUAAAGAGGAAGUUCGAUGCAACCGCCAUGGUUAACGAGGUAUUUACUAGUAAACCCAGCUGAGAGGAAGCAUGUCAGCCAGUAUGGUGACCGUUGACCUCUGGCUAUUGCAAAAAAGAAACUGAAGCACAGAACUAUUUCCUCAAACUUUCUUAGAAAAAGUUAUAUAAAAACUUAAUUCCGAGUUCCCCAACUGUACACUACUAAUGUACAGUCAGCAGAGUUUGACCACAUAAGUUACAGCUAUGUUCAUUUCUUCCUUAGUUUUACAUCGCUUCGAACAAAAGUAUCUGCAAAAUGAACAAAUGGAAAUAUGUAAUGAUGACAUAUUAAAAUCUAGCAAGACUAACUGAGCACUGAGAUCAACAAUAGCCCCGCGUUAAGACUGCAAAAAACAUGCAUUGUGAGGUCAUGUUGUUUCGACCAAGACAUGAAAUAUAAUCCAGCUAAAAUACUCCACUGAGGUUUAUAGUAUAUAAACUAAUCUAUCCACCAGCAAUGUGUGUUUUUUUAAAUAUGGGCAUAAUGACACACAUGGUAAAUGACACCCUGCUUGUUUCUCACCUGAUCUGAACAAAGAUGGUGUGAAGUUGGUGUGAAUGACAGUCCGUCAGAUUUGGAAAGUAAGCCUAAAAUAGUUGUCGAACCGGUCACCGACAGCGCAACAAAGUUCAACUUUCUCUCUUAUACUGAACUAAGACCUUGUUAAGCGAUAUUAAACACACUUAAUUCAAACAGAAACAAAAUAAAACUCAUCAAACCAUAAAGUUUUUACUGUUCCAACAAUCACCCGUCUAACGGAGGUUAUAUUACGGCUGUACGCGCCGUCGCUGUCUCUCUGCUCCCCGACCUCCCUCGCUCGCUCCUCUACCUGCUUCAUGCCUCUCCGGUCCCAGACUUGUUUGGAGCCUCUGUGAAUCACCUUGUAACUGUGUUCCCUGGCUUCACACUAUUCAAAAUAAACCCUCAAUUCACUGCAGUUAGAUAGAAAUACACUUGCUGCACAGCUGUUCUUCCUCUCACUCAUUAUUUGGCUCUGUGUGUACUGUCGCUGAGCGCCUUUAAUUCUUUGGAGGAGGAACAUUAAAUUAGCAAAAUAAAAUGAGAAAAAAAUAAAAAACCAGCGAUGGACCAUGGAUACGUACCAAUCGCUGACAGCUGAUAUAUUGGUCCAAUCAUCCAACCCGACUUGACGUCACGAUAGGUUCUAAUGCUAACAUGCUAAUGCUUAGCAGGUAUAAUGUUUACCUUGUUCACCAUCGUAGUUUAGCAUGUUAGCAAGCUAACAUUUGCUAAUUAGUACUAGACACAAAAUAUCAGUGAUCAGUAAAUGUCAUGACAACCUGGUCAGUAAAUAUUGCUCUGGACCGAAGUGUUUUGACAGACUGACAUCACUAUCCUGCGGCUAUUUGUGUGUGUCAUGUGGCAGCCAUCGGGUUACCAUGUGAUUAUUUGAUUUGUGAAGGACAAACAGUAGAAAGAGGUAAUUUCAUUGUUGAACUGCUUUAACACCCACUGAACUACAGUCUGUCUUCAGUCAUGGGUUUUAAGUCCUGGAGGCACGUAGGCCCACAUGACAGGCAGACAUGUUCAUAAUGACUCCAUAUACACAUCAACAAUGAGACUGAUUCUGUCUCUGGUUUGAAAUUAAGAUUGUCAAAACAUAUUUGCUGAUUAACUGAUGCCUGUCACUUUGUUUUGUCUGGUUCAACCUCAGUCACAAGGUAAAAUGUUUCCAUGUGAGAUGUUUAAAGACUAUUAUAAUAUAUUAUUUUUAUGGCUGGGCAAGUUAACGCGUUAACGUAAUUAAUUAACGCAGACAAUAAUUUUAUCUCGCAUUAAUGCAGUUUUUUUUUACUAUUAUUAUUUUGAAAGUCCGUUGCUCACUGGCUCUGAAUACACAUCCAGACAAACCAUGGGUCACAGGAGGGGAGUGGAGGGAGGCUUCUGCAGACUAUGUUGGAUACAGCGUGUUACCUCAGAGUUACAGUGCAUUAUAUUGAUGGACAGUGGGAGCUGCAUUCACAUGCUCUGACUCUAAUGAAAACAGAAGAGAGACAUUUUGCUUGCACAGCAGAGGAAUGUUUCAAAUAAAGUCAGCACACUUAGAUAGACUUAGACAGAUAGUGCAAGAAAUGUUUAAACUGCUACUGUGUAAAGGGAAUACUGCUGUUAAGAGCAACUUAUUUGUUUAAAGUUUAAAGUUGUUUAUAAGUGUAAACUAAAUGUUAUUGCACUUUUGUUCAUAUAGCAGUACUUUUAAAAUAAAAGUGCGCAAUACACUACUUUUGAAUUCAUUAUUGAAUUUUGCGUAACUUACUAACUGGUGUAAUUAAUCGCGAUAAAUUGCAUGAUUUUCUGCGAUUAAAAAAUGUAAUCGUUGCCCAGCACUAAUUAUUAACAUCUUUCAUACAGUACAUGUUAGAGGGAUCAAACUUAAUUAGAAGUCAAAGAAA
rnacentral:lncRNA from 15 species